AAUACAGUUCCUCACUACCACCAAAUAUGCAGUUGAGUUUCCUGAAUUUGGGGAAACUGUAGGGGUCAGAAUAUCAAGAUGUUCUGGAUGUGAUGGAUAAGCCUCACCCGGGGAAAACGACCUUUGUGAUUAUGGUGUCUCUUCUUCUAGGCUCAUUGAAGAAUGCAAUGAAAUCAUUUUUAAAGAAGUGUGCUAGGCCUGAUGACACAUGCCUUUAAUCUCAGUCCUUGGGAGGCAGAGGCAAAUGGAUGUCUGUAAGUUC
rnacentral:lncRNA from 1 species